rnacentral:rRNA from 1 species
CCUUGACAUACUAAGAACUUUCCAGAGAUGGAUUGGUGCCUUCGGGAACUUAGAUACAGGUGCUGCAUGGCUGUCGUCAGCUCGUGUCGUGAGAUGUUGGGUUAAGUCCCGCAACGAGCGCAACCCUCUUCCUUAUUUGCCAGCGGGUCAUGCCGGGAACUUUAAGGAUACUGCCAGUGACAAACUGGAGGAAGGCGGGGACGACGUCAAGUCAUCAUGGCCCUUACGGCCAGGGCUACACACGUGCUACAAUGGUCGGUACAAAGGGUUGCUACCUCGCGAGAGGAUGCUAAUCUCAAAAAGCCGAUCGUAGUCCGGAUCGCAGUCUGCAACUCGACUGCGUGAAGUCGGAAUCGCUAGUAAUCGCGGAUCAGAAUGCCGCGGUGAAUACGUUCCCGGGCCUUGUACACACCGCCCGUCACACCAUGGGAGUUUGUUGCACCAGAAGUAGGUAGUCUAACCGCAAGGAGGACGCUUACCACGGUGUGGCCGAUGACUGGGGUGAAGUCGUAACAAGGUAAGCGUAGAUGA